rnacentral:rRNA from 1 species
AGCAGCCGCGGUAAUUCCAGCUCCAAUAGCGUAUAUUAAAGUUGUUGCAGUUAAAAAGCUCGUAGUUGAAUUUCAGGCCUGGCUGGACGGUCCGCCCUUCGGGUGAGUACUGUCUGUGGUCGGGUCCUACCUUCUGGCGAAGCGUCAUGGCCUUAACCGGCCGUGGCGGGGAACCAGGACUUUUACUGUGAAAAAAUUAGAGUGUUCAAAGCAGGCAAUCGCUUGGAUACAUUAGCAUGGAAUAAUGGAAUAGGACAAUGGUUCUAUUUGUUGGUUUCUAGGACCGUUGUAAUGAUUAAUAGGGAUAGUUGGGGGCAUUAGUAUUCAAUUGUCGGAGGUGAAAUUCUUGGAUUUAUUGAAGACUAACUACUGCGAAAGCAUUUGCCAAGGAUGUUUUCAUUAAUCAAGAACGAAAGUUAGGGGAUCGAAGACGAUCAGAUACCGUCGUAGUCUUAACCAUAAACUAUGCCGACUAGGAAUCGGGCGAUGUUGAAAAAAUGACGC